CUACGUAGGGGGCAAGCGUUGUCCGGAUUUAUUGGGCGUAAAGAGCGUGUAGGCGGCUUUGCAAGUCCGUUGUGAAAACUCGAGGCUCAACCUCGAGACGCCGGUGGAAACUGCAAAGCUAGAGUCCGGAAGAGGAGAGUGGAAUUCCUGGUGUAGCGGUGAAAUGCGCAGAUAUCAGGAAGAACACCCGUGGCGAAGGCGGCUCUCUGGGACGGUACUGACGCUGAGAAGCGAAAGCAUGGGGAGCGAACAGG
rnacentral:rRNA from 1 species